GUACCACUCUACUUACUCAUAUGGAAAAACAAAAUAAUAUACUCCCUCUUUAUCUCUGUUAUAUAAGCCAAGAGGGGAGGGGCAAUUCAGUAACACCAUUUUUCGUGUCCACAAGCAAAAUGACGAAAACACCCUCCACCCAUUCCUCUCAAACCCUUCACGGAUCAUUCGCUCCUUCCUCUCAAACGGACUCUUUGGUUCUCUCUCCUCUAAGAAAAGGAAAGAAUCCUGUAUUUCUUUCUCCUCAUCUCAAACCAUUCGCUGUCUCCUCAUCUCAAACCCUAAAAAUCUAUACUCUGAAGAACCACCAAUUUCAAAGAUCUGGUUUUUUCAUCUUCUUUGUGGCCCAUGCUCCGACGAUUCUGAUUCGCGAGAUGUUGUCGGCAAAUCUUCCGGUUGUUCGACGCCUCUGCUGCCAUCACGUCUACAUCCACCGCCGAUUCAGUGGUGAUUUUGAAAGCAUUUCUACGUGAAGCAACUUUUGGAGUCGGAUUUGAGACUAAUUUCACUCUUCUGAACUCGAACAAUUCGUCAAAGGUGUUUCAUUCGACCAUUUAGAUAAAGAGCUUUUCUGCUUGGUGAAGUGGCGAAUAGGUCGAUGAAAUUGAAGCAGUGUAAGCUUGAUGCUCGCCGUGAACAAUGGCUUUCGCAGGGGUUAUAAGCUUUGUGGAAAAUCCCUUCAAAUUUUCCCAGGCCUUGCUGUUUGUAAUGGGUUUAUUCCAUCGCGUAUAUUACUACUACUGAUGUUUCACGAACCCAAGACUAAGAUAGUGCAGCUCAUAUGGUGUUUCCUAGGCUGUUCAUUCCAGAUUUGAGCACUCUUUGGGAGUGUAUGGGCUUGCUUCCCAAAUUGUCCAUGUGCUUCAUAAUCGUCAUGUAUGUAAUUUCAGUUUCAUUUUAUGUGUGAGGGAACAGAAGGACAUACAUUUAAAUUCUUAUUUUCUCAGCGGCAUGGAACUUGAUAUUACCUUCUGUGUGAGGUUAGUUGUUUCUUCAGAUUUUGGUUUUAGUUUCCUUCAUUUUUAGUAUGAAUUUUUAUUUAUUAUCAAAGAAGAUGAACUUUGGGGGGAAAUUAAGAAAUUUGAGUUUAUGGGAUUUGUGUAAUUGCUGAUAAAAAUUUGUUAUGUUUUUUUUACAAAGCAAAAAGUAGAAACGGGGUGUUGGAUUCAGUGUCAGAACCUCCUAAAGGUGAGAUCUUUAGCUGGUUUUUUGGAUAUUUAAUGCUUAAUACUGUUUCUUUUGGAUAAUUAAUGAUUAAUUACAACUUUUGAAAUUCUGGAUUUUGUAUGUUUGAGCAGAAAAACUGUUUCUCUUUGAUUUUUGUAGAAAAUUUCCAAAUCAUUUUUUUGGGGUUUUGUAUAUAUUUAGACCCAUAAAUUGGCCUGAUUUUUUUUUAUGAAAUGUAGUAUUUUUCUAUUUAACAGAAAAGGAGAAUGUGAAUCAGAUUCUAUAUUCAUAUUCACCGCCCCAAAAGGUUUGAUUUUUCAAAACAGAUAGAGAUAAAUUAUUUUGGGGAGGAUUAAGAAGUUUAUUUUAAUUUGAUCUCUAUUUAUUAAACUUAAAUGAAUUUGGAAUUAAACCUGUAACCGAGCUUAUUUUUUCUCAAUUUUAAUGAACUAAUUUCCCCAUUUUUAUUUCUCACCGUCGUCGGGUUGCACCAAUACGGAUUUUCGGCUACUGUUGCUUUCCUCAUUUUCUAUUUGGGUUUUCACGUAUGUACGUCGGUUGCCCGCUAUUCUUGCUUUCCUGAUUGUCUAUUUCGAUCAAUAACUUGAAAUUUCAGGUAUGCUCUACUCUUGCUUUCUUCAUUGUCAUUUUCUAAAUAAAUCUCUACCGUAUUUAAAAAAAAAAGUGUUGUGUUCUGUAGACACCUAAAUCGUGUCUCCCCAUUGGGAUGAUGACGAUACCAUUAUCCUUAUUAGGCGGUUGGAGCAACUCCGUGCGGAAAUCCCAAUUGCUAAGAACAUUUCCAAAAUCCAAGAGCCAAAAUCUAAUCCCCGAGGCCGUUCCCAUUCCGGAACUCGGUACAAAAUACAAAUUCCAAAAAUCAAUUUCAAGAUCCAAGUACAAUCUCACCCAAUGGACUAUCCCAUUGGUUUUACAAGGCCUUUUUCAGUCGAAAUGACACUAAGCAAUCCAAAUUUGGGUGCCGACCAACAAAACCGUGCAAGCCGGGCCUCGUCCCGUAAAACCGAAUUCAAAAAUCCGAAACGGCUUGUUUUUAGACGCAAAAUAAGCCUUAAUCAUCAAGCAAACAAUACUUUCCAACUUCGUACAAUUCGUACGAAGGUACACCAUUACAAGCCAAAACAAGGACGACAUCUUUCGUCCUUGUUUGGCAGCUUCUGCGCGCACGUCAGCAGCGCCUGGCGCUGGCAGCUGCGCUGGACGCUGGCGUGAGCUGGCGUUUAGCAGCAACUUCUCCUAUAAAACCCCUAAUUCUGAGCAUUAUGGAGAGGCAAAAAAAUCAAAACACAACGUCGUAAUACAAAAAUUGCCACUCAAAUCAAAAUAUAAAAAUCCUCCAAAAUCACAUACAAUUUCUAAGUUCUAAGCAAUUGGGAGCUCUAAAAGGAAUUCUUGCCUAAACCUAACUAGGUAAUUCCGAAUCCCAACCCUAAUCAAUCAUGUUUCUUUGAAUUUCUCUUUCAAAAAUGAUUAGUGAGUUGGCAUUUUUAAUCCUAAAAGUGUCACUUAUUGUGAUAAUAACGGAGCUAUAGCACAGGCAAAGGAGCCUAGACACCACCAGAGAGUUAAGCAUGUACUUCGUCGAUUUCACCUUCUACGAGAGUUCGUUGAAAGAAAAGAAGUCGAGAUAAGCAAGAUUGGAACUGAUGACAACAUCUCAGAUCCAUUGACUAAACCUCUGCCGCAGGCGAAGCACAACUCACACACUGCAGCUAUGGGAAUCAAGCAUGUUGGAGAAUGGCUUUGAUGUCCUUAUUUAAUGUUUUAAAGUUUUAGAAUUU